rnacentral:rRNA from 1 species
AUUGAACGCUGGCGGAAUGCUUUACACAUGCAAGUCGAACGGCAGCACGGGGCAACCUGGUGGCGAGUGGCGAACGGGUGAGUAAUAUAUCGGAACGUGCCCAAUCGUGGGGGAUAACGUAGCGAAAGUUACGCUAAUACCGCAUAUUCUGUGAGCAGGAAAGCAGGGGACCGCAAGGCCUUGCGCUCUUUGAGCGGCCGAUGUCAGAUUAGCUAGUUGGUGAGGUAACGGCUUACCAAGGCGACGAUCUGUAGCGGGUCUGAGAGGAUGAUCCGCCACACUGGAACUGAGACACGGUCCAGACUCCUACGGGAGGCAGCAGUGGGGAAUUUUGGACAAUGGGCGCAAGCCUGAUCCAGCCAUGCCGCGUGAGUGAAGAAGGCCU